rnacentral:rRNA from 1 species
UUAAAUUGAAGAGUUUGAUCAUGGCUCAGAUUGAACGCUGGCGGCAGGCCUAACACAUGCAAGUCGAACGGUAGCACAGAGAGCUUGCUCUCGGGUGACGAGUGGCGGACGGGUGAGUAAUGUCUGGGAAACUGCCUGAUGGAGGGGGAUAACUACUGGAAACGGUAGCUAAUACCGCAUAAUGUCGCAAGACCAAAGAGGGGGACCUUCGGGCCUCUUGCCAUCAGAUGUGCCCAGAUGGGAUUAGCUAGUAGGUGGGGUAACGGCUCACCUAGGCGACGAUCCCUAGCUGGUC